UACGUAGGGCGCAAGCGUUAUCCGGAAUUAUUGGGCGUAAAGAGCUCGUAGGCGGUUUGUCGCGUCUGCCGUGAAAUUUCGGGGCUCAACCCCGAACUUGCAGUGGGUACGGGCAGACUAGAGUGUGGUAGGGGAGACUGGAAUUCCCGGUGUAGCGGUGAAAUGUGUAGAGAUCGGGAGGAACACCGGUGGCGAAGGCGGGUCUCUGGGCAAUUCCUGACGCUGAGGCGCGAAAGCGUGGGGAGCAAACGGG
rnacentral:rRNA from 1 species